UCUCCCCACUUCUCUUCAUUUUCGUUUCUUUUCUUCUCCUUCUAAUAUACUACAGACCUGCGUUGCUUCUUCUCAUUCUUCUCACUCUCGAUUUCCACUUCCUGCAGCGCAAGAUCCUCAUCAUUUUUCCUCUUUUCCCUGUGUGCAAGCCACACCAACGGCCAUCACCAUACCACCUUCUUCUUCUUCAUUAAUUUAUUGUAACACCCACCAUCACUUUCUCCUCUUCAUGGAAGCCGUGAGACCACCACCACCACCAUGCUGCUACUCCACGCAAGCACCACAACCACCGGGAGCAAGCCACCAAAGGCAGCCACCACCUUUAUUCUCUUCAACCUUUUCUCAUCUCAAUUUUGAGCUUUUGAGUUAGAGGUUUGGAUCGAGUUGAGCUAAGGAAGGAAGAUUCAGAACAAGCAGUGAAGUUUUCAGGAUAGAGGAGAAUAACCCAAGGUAAGGGCAACUCUCCUAGCUAUUAGCUAUAUGCUUAGGUGUUGAAGAAUCGACAAUUGUUAAAUGAUAUUGAUAUGUGAGGCUUAUGCCUCUGUUGACUGCUGAGGCUUCGGCCGUUUACUGAGAUUUCAGUCUUAUUUCUUUUAAUGGAUAGACAUUUGCUAUUUCUUGAA